CAGCUCCCGCGGUAAUACGGGGGGUGCAAGCGUUAAUCGGAAUCACUGGGCGUAAAGGGUGCGUAGGCGGUGCAUUAGGUCUGUCGUGAAAUCCCCGGGCUCAACCUGGGAAUGGCGGUGGAAACCGGUGUACUAGAGUAUGGGAGAGGGUGGUGGAAUUCCAGGUGUAGCGGUGAAAUGCGUAGAGAUCUGGAGGAACAUCAGUGGCGAAGGCGGCCACCUGGCCCAAUACUGACGCUGAGGCACGAAAGCGUGGGGAGCAAACAGGAUUAGAUACCCUGGUAGUCCACGCCCUAAACGAUGAAUACUAGAUGUUUGGUGCCAAGCGUACUGAGUGUCGUAGCUAACGCGAUAAGUAUACUGUCUCUAA
rnacentral:rRNA from 1 species